rnacentral:tRNA from 1 species
GGGGGUAGAGCUCAGUGGUAGAGCAUGUGCUUAGCAUGCACAAGGUCCUGGGUCCAAUCCUCGGUACCUCCA